CAGGGCUGCAGGUCCAGGCUUAGGCAGCCUCAGUUUUCCGGAGAACCCAGUUUUGCAGAGGCGCAGAUGCAGACAGAUGACUGCUUUGGGAACUGCAAACCACUGGCCCCUGCGGCCCCUCUCUUAGACUGGUGUCACUGGAAGAGUGGGCCUAGGCUGGGGCCUGGCUCCUUGGAGAAGACCCACCAGUGACCUAGCAGGGCUCAGAGCUGGGGCUGGGCCCGGACAUUCCAAGUCAAUUCAGGACUGGAGCACCCUGGAGGAGAAGGGACCCGGAUUGUCCCCUGGAGUCACUGGCAUCUACGGCGACCUUCCCCACCCGGUCUGCCCUGGAUCCUGAGGAUAGAGGGACAGCAUGGCAGGAAGUAGCCCACUUCACCUGGACAGGAACAAACCCACAGCCACCCGAGGAAGAGAGAGAAUGCCUGCAUGAUAAUCGUGGGGGCGGGGGCUCAGGGAGGCCUCUUUGAGGAGAUGGUCUUAACACCUGAGAGCUGAGAAGAAUUCAGCCUCACAAAACCCAGAGACCCGCGGUCCCCAGGAGGGAGAAGGGGCUGGGAAACGCGGUGGAGUGGCCAGGCCAGGAGAGGCCCGCAGGAUUGGAGCCCAGGCCCGAACCUGUCACAAUUCAGCAGCACGCAGCCACCCACCAAGGCUGAGCCUCUUCAAAUUUGCUUCGAUGUUUGCUGUGCACUGACUCAAGGUCUCCAGGCCUCAGUUUCCUCACCCGCGAACUAGGGGCGGUCUCUGGGGACUGUUCUAAGGACCUGUCUUGUGUGACGCUGUGUGCCACCCCACACAUCUUCAGCCCCGGAGAAAGAGUCUGGUGGUGGAGGCUGUUGAGUAAAUGCUCACUUGAGUUUCUCCCAUUGCCUUGGAGUCCCUCUUCUGUUUUUCUCCAAAUUCUCUUUGGUGACAGAGUAACAGUUCAAAACCCCACACAGGGAUGAACGAGAGGACGCCCAGGUCCAGCCCAGCAGUGGCUUCCUGUCCCCUCCACCUCUCUCUUUCCCUCUGCCACUGCCAUCUACCGGGACGCUCUUCCUGGGCCCCUGUGGGACAAGGACUGCCUGUGACUGAGGUCCCUUCCAUGCAGAACAUAUAGCACAGUUGUGCCCCAAAGAGGAACAGAGAGAAGGAGGAGGAGGGCCCAAGAGAGACUUGGAAAUGAGUGCCAGGAAACUGAGGCGCUGGACUUGCGUUUGGGGCACUCCUUGUGUAUUUCUCCUGCUGUCUGUAUAACCAUUUAAUGCAAUAAACGAAAACCAGCCCUCGUUCUUGGGGUGUUCCCA